GCGCCAGAGUUGAAAGCCAUUCUCAACAAAAUUGUAGUACUCUCGUGAUCAUACUGGACAGCUGCGCUCUUGUUAAGAAUGGCUUUCGAGCCUGCGCUCA
rnacentral:pre_miRNA from 1 species